AGGCGCUGAUGGUAGAAAGGCAGCUUCGCACCGGCCUCUUGUCUGGCCACUCUACAGAUUUCUGAGGAUUUUCAGACACAUACGACAGCUUCCGCAUACGCAAGCACGUACGCCGGUGACGCAAUAUCCGGGAGGCGGCAUGGCCAUCACAGCCAAAUACUGCCAGCAGGAGCUGGGGGAAUAUGGGGCCUGUGUCGUCUCAUAUCCAGCAUCAUGGCAAGAGAAGUGUCCAGACCUGAAGCUGAGGGUGGCACAGUGCACUUCAUCACAUGCAGUCCAGUGAUAAGGAAGAUCUGAACAGAUUCAGUGUUUGAGCGCUGUCUGCUGGAGAAGCGUGUCACCUCACACUUUCCUUACCUGUGUUGAGACCGUCGACCUUUCAGGAAUAGCAAAUGCUGCGCCGCAGCCCACAUAGGUGGUUUUUGUCACCGUUCUGGCUAAAGAGGACAAUAACACAGGUGUUUUAUACUCAGUACUGAGAGGAAAUAGGCUGGGAAAAGAUUUAUUAUCUUUGAAGUACUGUAACACACUCAAAAAACAAAACAAAAACAAGCCUCAAUCUUUUGCACAACUUUUUUCAAACUAUUCAAUGUGAUGUUUGUUUUGUUUUGUUAAUGGAAC